rnacentral:rRNA from 1 species
UACGUAGGGUGCAAGCGUUAAUCGGAAUUACUGGGCGUAAAGCGUGCGCAGGCGGUUGUGCAAGACCGAUGUGAAAUCCCCGGGCUAACCUGGGAACUGCAUUUGUGACUGGCGGGCUAGAGUAUGGCAGGAGGGGGGUAGAAUUCCGACGUGUAGCAGUGAAAUGCGUAGAGAUGUGGAGGAAUACCGAUGGCGAAGGCAGCCCCCUGGGCCAAUACUGACGCUCAUGCACGAAAGCGUGGGGAGCAAACAGG